AUUGAACGCUGGCGGCAGGCCUAACACAUGCAAGUCGAACGAGUGGCGGACGGGUGAGUAAUGUCUGGGCAAAUGCCUGCUGGAGGGGGAUAACUACUGGAAACGGUAGCUAAUAACGCAUCCAUCAGAUGUGCACAGGUGGGAUUAGCUAGUUGGUGGGGUAACGUCUCACCAAGGCGACGAUCCCUAGCUGGUCUGAGCGGAUGACCAGCAACACGGGAACUGAGACACGGUCCGGACGCCUACGGGAGGCAGAGGUGGGGAAGAUUGGACAAGGGGCGAAAUCCUGAUGCAGCCAUGCCGCGUGUAUGAAGAAGGCUGUCGGGUUGUAAAGUACUUUCAGCGGGGAGGCGUUACCCGCAGAAGAAGCACCGGCUAACUCCGUGCCAGCAGCCGCGGUAAUUC
rnacentral:rRNA from 1 species